CUGGCUGUGGCUGUGUGUAGGCAAAUACGUGGUCAGUCAUGGUGGAUGUCCACUCCUUAAUUUCGCUGUAAGCUUAUUACUGUGGUAACUGAUUUGCAGUUACAGAAGUGGAAAUCCCAUACAACCCAACACCAAGAAAUAAAUAAUUCCAGGACCGUUUGACUUAUGAGUGUUGGUAGAGGGACUGGAUAUUGGACAUACUAGACGAUUGAAAUGAUUCAGAGAAGACUACGUCAGAAAAAGGGCUAAUAAUCCUAGACUCAACAUUAAAUCAAAGCCUAGUUGGAUUGUUGCCUCUUGGGCACCACAAUCUAUUACUAGAAGUAAGACUUUUUGAGAUUUAAUGCUGCAACACUAUAUGCAGGGAUUCCAGUUUUGGCACAUGUAUACAGGAGAUGCACUGCUGGGCUAUAAUGCAUCAGUUAAUUCAAAAUGGAGGUGGAUGGUGUCAUAUGAAUCAGAACCGUUUGACUUUUGAGUGUUGGCAGAGAGAGAGACUGGGGAUUGGAGAUAUUGGAUGACCAUUCAAAGAAGACUUCAAAAAAAGGGCCAAAGUUUAAAUUUUGUGAAUCGGCAGAGAAAGUUUGAGGAUACUGACAAGGAUUGCUACCAGUUGCCAUAAAUGUGGGAAUAUCAAAUUAUCUAUGUGGUGUUACAGUACGUCCACGUAUGCCCAUGGGCAUCUAUCAUUUCCCGAAUUCUCUCGCACAUUACGAGAGGAUAAACAAAGGGAAAUGUUGCCAUGGCAUACGUAGACAUACUGUAAAACACCACAUUGAUCAUUUUCUAAUCCCACAUUUAUGACAACUGGAAGCAAUAUCCUUUGCCAGCAUCCUCAAACUUUUCAAGCUGGUAACUAAAAGAACCUCCUAUGCACUCAAAAAGUGCAGAGGGAGGAAGAAUUAUCACAACAGUAAAAGAAUAUAACUACAUCGCUGGAGAUCACUUCGCGUAUUUAAUAAUCUGUUUAAUUUUGUGCCUCUCUCAAAUAUGUCUACUACAGAUUUUCAAGUAGUUUAAUGAUACUACUUUAAAUAUUUCUACUACAGGUUUUGAAGAAGUUUAAUGCCACAGUUCUUCAUGAUUGUGUUGUAACUUUUCUCUUCAAGUUGGAGAUUUUGUCCUGGCCCCCUUUUUCUCUUCAGCUU